AGAUUUUGAUGCUACUCUUUUUAUACCAUUCAUAUGAAUGAAGAGGGUCACAAUCCGAAAAUUUUUCUUUUUGAUUGAUUGAUGAAAACACUUGCUUUGUUUUCCAUUUCUUUUAUUUGAGUCAGUCAUCUUGCUUGCAAUCAUCAAACUGGUCUUUAUUUUCAAUGUUUUGUGAAAACUGAGGAAUGUCAUGCAUCCGAGGUCUUAAAUUUGAGAUUAUUUCAUUUUAACUUUUUUCCUUUCGAGACAUCAGCGCACACAUGCUUGAAUUUGUUGGCAAGUGGAGAAAUGAGAAGGGUUUAGAGGAGAAUGGGAUAAUUGUAUGGACAAGUCAUUCCUCAUAAUCCUCAAAGGAGAUGUGAUAUGAGAAUGUUAGGGUGAACACGAGAUACACAAAGGGUGCCCCAACUUGAUAUUAUGGAAAAUGAGCUGGGGUUUGGAUUCAUGAAAGUUAGGGUGAGAAAAUUUCAAAUGAGAUUUGGAAAGCUGCCCCAGUCUUGAAGUUAUGGAUUGAUGAAAAACUUGUGUGAGAUUCAGAAAGCCACCAAAGUUAUUGAUCAUUGAGUGCUCUUAUUUGCAUCAUGAGUUGACUCCUACCUGAUGACAACCCUUGCUUGGGGAUGAUUUUGAAAAAAGAAUUUAUUUUUGGCUCAAAUAGGGUGACAAUGGAUAUAAUUUUGCUUUUAGGUAAAAACAAGAAGGCCACACAUCAUUUUGAACUCUGAUUGCUUUAUUUUCAAAAGAUUAAUUUUGCGACUGGAUGACCUCAACAUGAGUCGUUUUUUUUUUUCUUUUUGAAAGUUUUUUUUUUUAGACUGCUCUUUCGGGUUUUCAAUCUAGUGGGCUUAUUCUUCUUUUUUUAUUUUGAUUUUUUUUCAAUGGAUUCAGGGAUCACCUUACUAUCACAAGCAAGAAGUUUUUUGGCCAGACCAAAUUGCCACAGUGUAAAGGUUUUUGCUACAGAGGUCAGUGACAGUGUUUAUUAGGGAAAAUCCUUUAUUUUGGAAAAGUGAAGGGUGAAGGUUUUCAAACAACAUGUGCACAAAUGUCUUGAGAAAAAUAUCA
rnacentral:lncRNA from 1 species